rnacentral:rRNA from 1 species
CCUACGGGAGGCAGCAGUGGGGAAUAUUGGGCAAUGGGCGCAAGCCUGACCCAGCAACGCCGCGUGAAGGAAGAAGGCUUUCGGGUUGUAAACUUCUUUUCUCAGGGACGAAGCAAGUGACUGUACCUGAGGAAUAAGCCACGGCUAACUACGUGCCAGCAGCCGCGGUAAUACGUAGGUGGCAAGCGUUAUCCGGAUUUACUGGGUGUAAAGGGCAUGUAGGCGGGGCUGCAAGUCAGAUGUGAAAACCACGGGCUCAACCUGUGGACUGCAUUUGAAACUGUAGUUCUAGAGUACGGGAGAGGGAGACGGAAUUCCUAGUGUAGCGGUGAAAUGCGUAGAUAUUAGGAGGAACACCAGUGGCGAAGGCGGUCUGCUGGAAAGCAACUGACGCUGAUACGCGAAAGCGUGGGGAGCAAACAGGAUUAGAUACCCCUGUAGUC